AUGGAGGGGCAUGCCGCGUUGUGGUGUCAAGCCUUCAAACGAGUCCAUGGACUCGGGGACUGGGCUACGUUCACUGCCGCUGUGCAGGCGGAGUUCGGUCAGGACGAGUUUGAUGCACUCCUACACCGCCUUCAUCAUCUGAAGCAAUCAGGCAGUGUCACGGACUACCGUCUCGCCUUUGAGUCCAUCAUGUACCAUCUGAUCGCGCUGGACCCGUCACUCAACAACAAGUUCUUCGUCUCUCAAUUCAUCAUCGGCCUGCGCGACGAUGUCCGCACGAGUGUGCACCAGCACGCGCCCACAAGCGUGUCCAGAGCGGCGGCCCUGGCACGCAUCCAAGAGGAAGAAACCGAGCAGGCCAAGCCACGCGGGCGCCCCGCGAUCUACGCGCGUGCUCUACCGCCACCACCAGUGGCCGCGGUCAUGGCAGGACCAGUUCCACCACGCAACGACGGCGCCAAACGUGGCCCGGAUGACUUCGGCAGAGAGCGCCAACUGCGGGAAUUCAGGCGCGCCAAUGGCUUGUGCUUCAAGUGCGGCGACAAGUACAACAGAGAACACAAGUGCAACAAGAUCGGCCAGCUGCUCACCAUCGAGGUCGGCGAUCACGGUGAACUUCUGUCAGAUGAUGCCAUCCGUGCCCUUGAACUGCUUGAUGAACAUCCAGAAGACGCCGCAACCUGUUACCAGAUUUCAGUUCACGCCGUCGCAGGCACGGAAGCAACCGGAACCAUGCGCCUCCGCGCUCUUGUUGGAAACCAAGUAAUGCUGUUACUGGUGGACUCCGGCAGCACACACACAUUCGUCAAUGCUGCAUUCGCUGCCCGGGCAGGCUGUGUUGUGCAAGCGGCAGAGCCGGUCACUGUGCGUGUGGCCAAUGGCGACACUCUCCAAUCUACACAGCAAGUAUCCCAACUGAAUUGGUGGUGCCAGGGACACACAUUCAGCACUGACAUGCGUCUGCUCGAGCUAGGUGCCUACGAUGCGGUCCUCGGAGUCGAUUGGCUAGCCCAGUUCAGCCCUAUGAACUGUCAUUGGGGACUCAAGACCAUGGAAUUCCGUUAUGACAGUGUUAAUAUCAAGUUACAAGGUGUCCGCACUCCCACCGAGCCUACACUGACAGAGAUGCGAGUGGAUCAGCUAUCCAAGUGGAUUCAGGGCAACGAGGUGUGGGCAUUGGCUGUCGUCCAUGCAGAUACCAAUUCUGCAGCAGCCACUGAUCAAGUGCCACCGCAAUUGCAAGUCCUGUUGGAUGAAUAUGCAGACGUCUUCCAGGAACCCAAAACCUUGCCACCACAUCGCGACUUUGACCACACGAUCCACCUGGAGCCAGGAACAUCACCACCAAAUGUCAGACCCUAUCGAUACUCUCCUCUCCAGAAGGACAAAAUUGAGCGUCAACUGAUGGGGUUGCAACAGAGGCAGACAAGACUGAAGCAAUUCGACAAUGGCCACAACCAACAACAGCAACAGAAUUACCAUAAGAGUUUGUGCAAUCUGGGGGAGCAGCACCUCGGAUCUGAGCUGCAACGCAAAGCAAUGGCGAAGUUGGGCGGCUUGCAAUUCAAAUUCAAGUACCGUAGAGGAGCUGACAAUGUGGCAGCAGAUUCUCUGUCUCAGAUUGGUCAUUUGCUGACCAUCCAGGCCACAUCUACUUGUCAACCUUCGUGGAUCCAGGAGGUUAGAAACUCCUAUGUCACUGACGCUAAGGCAACCCAAUUACUGCAAGCUCUGGCUGUGCACAGUCCCGAUGAACAAGGCCAUGAACUGGACCGGGGCUUGAUCAAAUACAAAGGCCGCCUUUGGAUUGGGGACAACGCUGCUAUGCAGACCAAGCUGAUUACGGAGAUGCACACGGCGGCAGUCGGUGGCCACUCCGGCAUCCGCCCAACCCACCACAGCGCCCUCGGAUGCACACCAUUCAAAGCCCUGUACGGUGUGGAUCCCAACUUCGGUGCCCUUCCCAACCUGUUCAACUCCAGGACGCCAGACUCCUUGCACGAACUCGCAGCUGAGCACCAACAAUUCACAGAGAUGCUCAAGACUCACCUCUUGCGGGCACAGCACAGGAUGAAGCAUCAAGCUGAUCGCAAGCGGACAGAGCGCGAAUUCUCCAUUGGCGACCAAGUGUUAUUGAAGCUUCAGCCAUACGUUCAAUCAUCCGUUCUGCCAGCACCACCGGAUCUCACAGUCGGUGACCUGAUUCCACAAGCAAUCCUCGAGCGCAGACUUGUCAAGAAAGGUAACGCGGCAAUUCCUCAAGUGCUCGUUCAUUGGCGUACUCUGUCUCCAGCAAGCGCAACAUGGGAGAACUACAACGUCCUCAAGCAGCGAUUUCCCGAGGUCGACCUAGCCGAGGGGGAUCCAUCUCAAGAAGGGGCGAAUGUCACGAACUCCUCUCCAUCUAACCAGCCUGACGAGGAGGCGGACAGCGAGGCACCAGUGCCACAGCGGGAGGAAUCAGAGAGCCAAGAAGAUGGAGAAGAGUAG
rnacentral:rRNA from 1 species